CGGUAUAUAAAGCAUGCUGAGGUCGUAUCAGGUCAUUUCAAGCUCUUCUGUGUCUAGAGGAAGAGCUACCCCGUGACCGGCUUAGAGAACUGGAAGAGGCCGCAACCUUUCUCCUGCUUGAAGCUGGAGGAUGGAUGGAGUCUGGAGCCCUGGAGCGUGGGACACUGUUUCGCUGUGGUUGGUGGUGGCGACAGAGCAGUAGGAGAGCGCCCGGCAGCGGGAGCUUCUCCUGCUGGGCUGGAGGACUAGGAGAAGGAAGAGGCACUGCCACAUGCUGGAGGCUGGAGCCUGUGCCACCGUGGCUGGCCUGGCUCUGGUUGGUUCGCCUCGCUGUGGUUGGUGGUGACGUCGGAGACUGCAGCUCGGCCACAGUGGUAGAAAUGUGAUGGGGUAGUGCUACUCUUUCGGCAUUCCUGGUUGAACUACUUAAAAGUUCAGUAGCCAUGCAAGAACAGGUGCUGGGUGGAAAAGGCUUUUUAGUUAUUGGCUAAUUACUUGAAAAGUCAUCAAGAGUUCAUAUAACUAGACCUGUCUUGGAGCAAUUUUUAUCUUUUGCAAAAUACCUUGAUGGUUUAUCUCAUGGAGCACCUUUGCUGAAGCAGCUUUGUGAUCAUAUUUUGUUUAUUAACCCAGCCAUCUGGAUACAUACACCUGC